UUGAAGGAAGCAAUUUUGUAAGACUGAUUUGUUCAUCUUAAAGUAGGGUCUGUUGUUACUGUUGAAUUUUUUUUUCCCUUCCAUUUCUAGGAGAUAUUGUCUCUUGAAAUUUGCUGAAGUGGUGAAUCCACCAUGUACCCUACCAUUCCAAUGAUUUAGAAUUGAAUUCUAUCAAAAAUGGUGACCAUUGAGUUCCUAACAAGUCCAAUAAACUCUGUUUCUGAAAUCUAAAAUAUUAUCUAUUUGCUAUUCUAUUCCCGUGGUUACUGAGCUAGAAAUUUCUUUAGAACAACAUUCUUUAACUCAAACAUCAGAUCAAAUUUAUUUCAUUUGAUCAGUCUAAUUUCUCAACCUGACCUGCUAAGCACAAUAUUUAAGGUCCCUAGAUGCAACCAUUUUGUUUUUAGUUUUUGGUUUUAAAAAAUUGUGUUUGUUUACUAACAAUCUCUUACUUAUGGUUUUCUUAUUUCCUAUAAACAUUUAAUUUCUUAACUAAUUAGAACCAUUUUUUUAGUUUUCAAAAUUUGGUUUUGAUUUUGAAAACUCUUAAACUGUGGAUAAUAAAGCAUAGUAGACAACAGUGGUUGAGACUUAAUUUUCAAAAACAAAAAACCAAAAAACAAAUAGUUACCAAUCGAGCUUUAUUUAUUUAUUUAUUUAUACACUGAUAUGUUUUUAAAUCACCAAUGCCAAUGGGUCUCUGCGUAUUGAUAUCUAACUUUAUAAAUGUUUCACAAUUCAAGAAUGGAGAUCUUGUUAAUCUUGUGAGAAGCCAGCACAAUUUUCAAACAUAAAAAACUACUUAUCAAAUGGGCCUAAGGGUUAUAUAGUUUAUGUUUAUGUUUAAUUUUCAUGAUUUUUAUUUUCUCAGCUAAUUGAAGACUACUCAUCAAAUAGCAAUUGAUUUAAAAAGAAACAGAAAUGGUAAUGGAAAAUGGGAUAGGACAAAGCCACCAUUGAGGUGAGCACCAAGGCCAACAACAUCAAUACAUAGGCAAUCCCUUGGUCUAUGCUUGUCCCUGCAAAUCAAAAUUACAAUAAUUUUCAUCAGCUACAUUAUAGGACCCUGAAACAGUGAAACUUCAUCCCAGAUUCAGGUUCAGGUUGGUUUGAUAAUUGCUUAGGCCAUGUUUGAUAGCCAUGUCGAUUUAAAAAUCAGAAAAUGGCUAUGAAAAGUGGAGUUAAAAAGGAAUAGAAAAGAGAAGAAGAAGAGGUAACCAUCGCUAGCAGCAGGAGGUUGGGCCGGGGACAAAGACUGAGCAUAAGCAGGGGAAAGCACAGCCAAAAGCAAAGCAACAGCAAAUAGAAUGCCUCCAAAAGGGACCUUAUAAGCAACGACCGCCAUUGUUGAAAAGAAGAAGGAGAAGGUUGUAAGUGAAAAUUAAAAGAACGAAAUCUCUCUCUGCGACGUCUCUCAGAAAUGGAAGAAGUAGAGAGGAAAGCUCGGGAGAGGCGUAGCAGAGAGAGAGAGAGAGAGAGAUUAUUGGAAAAUCAAAGUAUUAAGGCCGGGAAUUGAUAAAAAUGAUAUGAAACUGUCAAGAGGGGAGGGGGCUAGCCAAACCACCAAUUGACAGUUCCAACGUAAAGGACGACGGCGUGGCAAUGGCGGUGUGGCUCUCAACCAAUGGGGCUAUGGAUUAUAUAGCCCCCAUUUAGUUUGGAAUGUUGCAACUAACAACUGCAAUUCCCAUCUAAAUCGCUUAUUUCAUACCCUUUUUUGGGUUUUCUUGAAACAGUCUAUAGGCUUCUUUUUCACCAUCUCAUACUUCCUUUUUCUUUCUUUUGGAGAUAGGAGUAUUUGUCAUAAUUUAGCGGAAGUUGAGAACCUAUAACUACCAUUCAUUUAUGGUCAUUCGUCUCUUGAAAAUCAAGAUAAUUGGAAUUUCUAAAAUUUUCCAAAUGGUAGAUGUUAUGUUUAUUUUGUAA